UACGGGGGGGGCAAGCGUUGUUCGGAAUUACUGGGCGUAAAGGGCGCGUAGGCGGCCUUCUAAGUCAGACGUGAAAUCCCUCGGCUCAACCGAGGAACUGCGUCUGAUACUGGAAGGCUUGAAUCCGGGAGAGGGAUGUGGAAUUCCAGGUGUAGCGGUGAAAUGCGUAGAUAUCGGGAAGAACAUCGGUGGCGAAGGCGGUCUGCUGGGCCGUUGCUGACGCUGAGGCGCGACAGCGUGGGGAGCAAACAGG
rnacentral:rRNA from 1 species